GCCGGGAUGGUGAAAUUGGUAGACACGCCAGACUCAAAAUCUGGUUUCCGCGAGGAAGUGCCGGUUCGACCCCGGCUCCCGGUACCA
rnacentral:tRNA from 9 species